UACAGAGGUGCCGAGCGUUAGGCGGAAUCACUGGGCUUAAAGCGUGUGUAGGCGGAUGCCUAAGUACCUUGUGAAAUCCCAAAGCUCAACUGUGGAACUGCUUGGUAUACUGGGUGUCUUGAGCCACUUAGGGGUUACCGGAACAAAUGGUGGAGCGGCGAAAUGCGUAGAUAUCAUUUGGAACGCCAAUGGUGAAAACAGGUAACUGGGAGUGUGCUGACGCUGAGACACGAAAGCCAGGGGAGCGAACGGG
rnacentral:rRNA from 1 species